ACACUUCUUGGAGUCAGAAAGAGCAGGCACGACGGCUGGUCCUGCCGGAGCGGGCUGGUGACCAUGGCUUCACUGCUCACCUGGACCUGCCGGGUGAAAGAGUCCCGAAAGUGCUGCGGUUGUUGAAGCGGUUCCCUCCCGGGGCGACGAUGAGCACGGGCAGGUGUGGAGGGGACAGUGCCUGGGACCCCCCCUGAAUCCACGGGCUUUGCUCUGCAGAGGGGCUGCAUUCCCCUGCUGCUGCUCUGGGCUCCAAUUUGAACGAGAAUUAGCUUCACCCGCAGGAAAAAGAGUUUGGUUCAUUAUUCUUUGCAAACUUUUGGGAUACGUCCCCCUCCAAGGAGAAGAGGGCGAACAGGAAGUGUUUGUUAGUCUUUUGCUCUUUUUCCAAGAAACCUGAAGAGUGAUGGCCUUAACAUCGAUACUGGCAGCCGGUUUUGGAAAGGGCUGUCGCACUGGGGAGCCAGGAACAGCUACCAACCAGCAAAGCCACGCAGGUUUUUCUGAUGUGUAACUUCUUUAAUUAAAACACAUUGCCGAUGUCAUUUAAUUAGUGAAGUAAUCCAUUGGAGAGGAGUACUUUACUGGACCAUAUAUGUAUCAGACUGCUUCAUCUCUUAUCAUGUCCCAAUCUGAUGUUUAAAGAGUUCAUAUUCUGUAAGUUUAUUCAAAUGAACGCAUCAUUUUUCCAGAACUCAACCUGGUACUGCUUGCUUAAAAUACACUAUUAUUUUGAUUUAAUGCAGUUUCGUUUUACUAGGGUUUAAUUUCUUUGGAAUAUAGUAAAACAGAGAUGCUCGAUAGGCCAGCUAGAAACUUCAAGCAUAACAUGAUUUUUAAAUGAGCUAUUUGAACAAAUGUGCUAACUACACUGAAUUCAAAGCAGGACUGUUUAAUUAAGAUGCUUUCAGAAUAAUCUGUGCUGUUUUUCAGAAGCGCUGGAGACUGUAAGAGUUUCAAGCUUGUGUCCUUAAAAAUCCUCCCCCCAAGUGGAGUUCGACCCUGACAACAAUUUUGCGUAACAAAAAGUGUAGUUGCUAAUAUUUUACCGCCUCCACAGACAUUGCCUGGAAAGAUGCACUUUUGUGAAGUGUUCUUUACAAGAGUCUACUACAGUACUAGAUUUUAUUACUUGUCUCCCUCCCAAGAUUUCAGUAGUUCAAUAAACUGCGCAAGGAGGCUUCAAUUUAAUUAUGUAAUUAAAUCAAACACCAUCAUGUUCCUAGGAGCUUUGCCUUUAUUAACAGAGAAAAAAAACAGCACUUUUUUUCUUCCCUUGCUGUCUUCCUGAAGUUCCUAAGUACCUUCAGAAUGAUUUAUUUCAAGUAACAGACUUCCUAGGGAAAAAAAAAAGCAGCUAGGAAGUUAGCUAUAUGAAAGCAUAAAAUGCUGAUUUUUUUGUGGCACUGCUCUGGCAUUGCUGCCAUCUAGUGUUGCAAAAUGAUAUCUGAGGAGAAUGAAACCCAAACCAUUUAUUAGUUACCAUGGUUUUGUAGGAAAACUUAAACUGCAAUAAAAUUUAUAUACACAAGAGA